rnacentral:rRNA from 1 species
UACGGGGGGGGCAAGCGUUGUUCGGAAUUACUGGGCGUAAAGGGCUCGUAGGCGGCCAACUAAGUCGGACGUGAAAUCCCUCGGCUUAACCGGGGAACUGCGUCCGAUACUGGAUGGCUUGAGUUCGGGAGAGGGAUGCGGAAUUCCAGGUGUAGCGGUGAAAUGCGUAGAGAUCCGGCGGAACACCGGUGGGGAAGGCGGUCUCCUAGGCCGAGGGCCGACGCUGAGGCGCGAGAGCGUGGGGAGCGAACCGG